ACCGUUGUCUCCGAGAAAGGCAAGUCAAACAAGAAGACUUCUUCAAAUUGACAUUCUUGAUCGAAACAAUAAAGGGGAGAGAUAAAAGCCUCCAUGGUCAAUGAGGUCAGACAGUUAACACCAUCAAAACGAGAGACAAUAGACAUCUUCGCUUCUGCUAUACAAACAGAACCAUCUUCAACACAAUGCUCCCUAUAACAAUUUCACUUACAACAAGUGAUAGAUGUGGGAGGAAGAAACACUCCUUAAAGGAGAAGGGAGGGCAAAGAGAGCCCAAACAAACCAGCUUUGCUGAAAGGAUACAUAACUUCAGAACUUCC
rnacentral:lncRNA from 1 species